UACAUGGGGUGCAACCGUUGCUCGGAAUCAUUGGGCGUAAAGCGCGCGUAGGCGGUUACUUAAGUCGAAUGUGAAAGCCCUCGGCUUAACUGAGGAAGUGCAUCCGAAACUGAGUAGCUAGAGUACGAAAGAGGGUCGCGGAAUUCCCGGUGUAGAGGUGAAAUUCGUAGAUAUCGGGAGGAACACCAGUGGCGAAGGCGGCGACCUGGGCCAAUACUGACGCUGAGGUGCGAAAGCGUGGGGAGCAAACAGG
rnacentral:rRNA from 1 species